AGGACGAACGCUGGCGGCGUGCUUAACACAUGCAAGUCGAGCGGAAAGGCCCUUCGGGGUACUCGAGCGGCGAACGGGUGAGUAACACGUGAGCAACCUGCCCUUAGCUUCGGGAUAGCUCCGGGAAACCGGAAUUAAUACCGAAUAUGACUUUGGCUGACAUCAGCAGAGGUGGAAAGUUUUUCGGCUAGGGAUGGACUCGCGGCCUAUCAGCUAGUUGGUGAGGUAACGGCCCACCAAGGCGACGACGGGUAGCCGGCCUGAGAGGGCGACCGGCCACACUGGGACUGAGACACGGCCCAGACUCCUACGGGAGGCAGCAGUGGGGAAUAUUGCGCAAUGGGCGAAAGCCUGACGCAGCGACGCCGCGUGGGGGAUGAAUGCCUUCGGUUGUAAACCCUUUCAGCAGGGACGAAGCGAAAGUGACGGUACCUGCAGAAGAGCGCCGGCUAACUACGCGCCAGCAGCCGC
rnacentral:rRNA from 1 species